rnacentral:rRNA from 1 species
AUUGAACGCUGGCGGCAUGCCUUACACAUGCAAGUCGAACGGUAACAGGUCUUCGGAUGCUGACGAGUGGCGAACGGGUGAGUAAUACAUCGGAACGUGCCUAGUAGUGGGGGAUAACUACUCGAAAGAGUGGCUAAUACCGCAUGAGAUCUACGGAUGAAAGCAGGGGAUCGCAAGACCUUGUGCUACUAGGGCGGCCGAUGGCAGAUUAGGUAGUUGGUGGGAUAAAAGCUUACCAAGCCGACGAGCUGUAGCUGGUCUGAGAGGACGAUCAGCCACACUGGGACUGAGAAACGGCCCAGACUCCUACGGGAGGCAGCAGUGGGGAAUUUUGGACAAUGGGCGCAAGCCUGAUCCAGCAAUGCCGCGUGCAGGAUGAAGGCCUUCGGGUUGUAAACUGCUUUUGUACGGAACGAAAAGCCCCGGGUUAAUACCCUGGGGUCAUGACAGUACCGUAAGAAUAAGCACCGGCUAACUACGUGCCAGCCGCCGCGGUAA